CGCCCAGUCCCGGGGAAACCGCUCACAAAAUGGCGGCGUCCAAGUAGGACGGGGAAGACGUGUCGCUUCAUCUCCGACACGAACGGAGAGGCUCGUACCCAAAACUAUCCUGAAUAAGAACCACACAGUAAUUAAAAGCAAAAUACUGCGGAUACUGAAAAUCUGCAGCUCCCCCUCCACCUACCAUAGUCCUGAAGGAGGCUUACACCCAAAAUGUCGACAUCCCCACCUCCUGAUGCCUACCUUGGAUUCCAGCAUUUGCCGAAAAUCUGGAGCAAACACAGAGUGCUGGUAAAACUCAGCAGGUUAGUUUGCCCUGCAAUAUGAGCUGAUGUCAGCACAGCAAGAACUAAAAAGAACCUGUGAUUUCAAUGAAGAAUGAUCCCUU